rnacentral:rRNA from 1 species
GACGAACGCUGGCGGCGUGCCUAAUACAUGCAAGUAGAACGCUGAAGAGAGGAGCUUACUCUUCUUGGAUGAGUUGCGAACGGGUGAGUAACGCGUAGGUAACCUGCCUUGUAGCGGGGGAUAACUAUUGGAAACGAUAGCUAAUACCGCAUAACAAUGGAUGACACAUGUCAUUUAUUUGAAAGGGGCAAUUGCUCCACUACAAGAUGGACCUGCGUUGUAUUAGCUAGUAGGUGAGGUAAUGGCUCACCUAGGCGACGAUACGUAGCCGACCUGAGAGGGGGAUCGGCAACACGGGAACGGGACCCCGCCCAAGACUCCUAGGGGAGGCAGCAGUAGGGAAUUUUGGGCAAGGGGGCAACCCUGACCGGGCAACGCCGCGUGAGUGAAGAAGGUUUUCGGAUCGUAAAGCUCUGUUGUAAGUCGAGAACGGGUGUGAGAGUGGAAAGUUCACACUGUGACGGUAGCUUACCAGAAAGGGACGGCUAACUACGUG